GUUUUCAGUUCAGGUAUUGAAUUUAACAAGAGCACGUCCAUUUUACAUUUUUACUACCGAAAUGGGGUGUAUUCCAGGCAGAAGCAGGAAACCGUCAUGUCUCUUAUAAGUUUAUCGUCAAACCUUGGCGGCGUGUUUGGCCUAUGCAUGGGAUGCAGCGUGAUCACUGUCGUAGAAGUGAUCUUCUACAUCCACAGCGCUAUCAAGAACAAGGUCCGAGCACACCUGCAGAGUCUUAGGAGGUACAAGAAUAAGGUUAAUAUUAUGAAAUAAUACAUGAAGAAAAAUUUUAAAACUAUAUUUUUGAUCUUCUAGACAUAAAUACUCUUUUGAUUUAGAUAAGUCUCAGACUGCGACAUCAUUACCGUAAAAUUUCAAAAUGGCGGCCGUUCAGUAGUCACUAAUCUUACGACAAUUGGUAACAUAUCAUCUGCGUCUGGGUCCCUGUAGCAUUCUCCCUGAAAGCUUUUAUCUUCAGAAUAACCUAUGCAGGAUAUUUGCUAACCUAACCUAACCUAUGAAGGAUAUUUUAGUGCACAAGUGUGAGCGCAAACAAUGCAAUAUCUAUAUUACUCAUCACCUCAUAGGCUGAUACAAUGGCUCACCCACUCGACUGGGGAAUGGAGAUUAGGCGCAAAACCGACAGUUUUACGUAUUCUUUGAAAUACGGGUGCGUACCAAAAGCGCUGAUUUCUUAACUCCAGGCUAUUUGAAAAACCCAAUAACUCACAGGGAUUUGAACCCGCAUUAUCCAUAGUCAAAACCAAAAACAGCUAGCUACGGGAUGAAUGAGGCUCAAGUAUUACAGAUGCUGAUACACCAGUGGAUUCUUAGAAUUAUCCCUGUAGGGUUCGAAUAUUUCAUCGAAAUAAAGUCUUACUCACCUUUGUCAAAUUUUUGCCUUAUGCUUAAUUGCUUAGUUUCUUUCUGGAUGAUUCAACACUGCUUCUAGACUUAAGUAAUAGUAAUAACAAAGAGCUUCUGUUCCUCGACUAUUUGACUUACGAGUUUUAAUUAUAUUAGAAAAUAAAUAUUGCACUUUAAAAAACUA